GACGAACGCUGGCGGCGUGCUUAACACAUGCAAGUCGAACGGAAAGGCCCUGCUUUUGUGGGGUGCUCGAGUGGCGAACGGGUGAGUAACACGUGAGUAACCUGCCCUUGACUUUGGGAUAACUUCAGGAAACUGGGGCUAAUACCGGAUAGGAGCUCCUGCUGCAUGGUGGGGGUUGGAAAGUUUCGGCGGUUGGGGAUGGACUCGCGGCUUAUCAGCUUGUUGGUGGGGUAGUGGCUUACCAAGGCUUUGACGGGUAGCCGGCCUGAGAGGGUGACCGGCAACAUUGGGGCUGAGAUACGGCCCAGACUCCUACGGGAGGCAGCAGUGGGGAAUAUUGCACAAUGGGCGGAAGCCUGAUGCAGCAACGCCGCGUGCGGGAUGACGGCCUUCGGGUUGUAAACCGCUUUCGCCUGUGACGAAGCGUGAGUGACGGUAAUGGGUAAAGAAGCACCGGCUAACUACGU
rnacentral:rRNA from 1 species